CGGGGCGUAGCGCAGAGGCAGGCGCGCCGGUCUCCAAAACCGGAACACGCUGGUUCGAAUCCAGCCGCCCCGC
rnacentral:tRNA from 5 species